UACGAGGGGGCGAGCGUUGUUCGGAAUACUGGCGUAAGCGUGCGCAGGCGGUGAUGUAAGACAGAUGUGAAUCCCCGGCUCAACCUGGGAACUGCAUUUGUGACUGCAUCGCUGGAGUGCGGCAGAGGGGAUGGAAUUCCGCGUGUAGCAGUGAAAUGCGUAGAUAUUGGAAGAACACCGGUGGCGAAGCGGCUCCUCGUGGACCGUAACUGACGCU
rnacentral:rRNA from 1 species